UCGGGGAUGGUAUGAUAUAUAUGUCUUCAUCAUUCCGAUGAUCCUUGAUGAUAUGUGCCUCGAAAAUAUAUACGAAAAUAGCGGGAAGUUUAACAAAAAUAUUUAUUUUUGGAUUUUAAAGUGACUACCAAAGACCGUAAAUUGAGGGGUACCUCAUUAAAGAGCUAACAUAUAAAAAUGUGACCAUAGAAAAUUUUUACGACCAAACGGAAAUUAAAAUAUAGAUAUUAGUCUAUCAUUUAAAACAAAAUGUUCUGAAACGUCGCCAUGCUACGUCAUCAAAACG
rnacentral:lncRNA from 1 species